ensembl:lncRNA
GAGGGGUGGAGGUCUAGUGGAGGGGUGAAGGUCUAGUGGAGGGGUGAAGGUCUAGUGGAGGGGUGAAAAUGUAGUGGAGGGGUGAAGGUCUAGAGGGGGGGGUGAAGAUCUAGUGGAGGGGUGGAGGUCUAGUGGAGGGAUGAAGGUCUAGAGGGGGUGAAGAUCUAGUGGAGGGGUGGAGGUCUAGUGGAGGGGUGAAGGUCUAGUGGAGGGGUGAAGGUCUAGUGGAGGGGUGAAGGUCUAGUUUCACAGACUGGUCUAGUGGAGGGGUGAAGAUCUAGUUUCACAGACUGGUCUAGUGGAGGGGUGAAGAUCUAGUGGAGGGGUGAAGGUCUAGUGGAGGGGUGAAGGUCUAGUGGAGGGGUGAAGAUCUAGUGGAGGGGUGAAGGUCUAGAGGAGGGGUGAAGGUCUAGUUUCACAGACUGGUCUAGUGGAGGGGUGAAGGUCUAGUAGAGGGGUGAAGGUCUAGUUUCACAGACAGUUCUAGUGGAGGGGUGAAGGUCUAGUGGAGGGGUGAAGGUCUAGUGGAGGGGUGAAGGUCUAGUUUCACAGACUGGU